rnacentral:tRNA from 1 species
GCGGGAAUAGCCCAGUUGGUAGAGCACGACCUUGCCAAGGUCGGUGUCGCGAGUUCGAGUCUCGUGUCCCGCUCCA